rnacentral:lncRNA from 1 species
GACACAACUCCACAUGACUCAGAAGCCCUUCUUAAAAUAAGACCAGACCACAUUCAUGGAGGCUGAGUCACCUCUAACCUUCCAAACUUGUGUCUUACCAAGAAUGAAAGGCAACCUAUGUAAAAACUAUGGGCUUUCUAGUAUAAAUAAAAACUACUCAUCUCCAGAAAAUAAACAAUGACUGCUAAGAUGAUUGAAAAAAGAAAGGAGAAGAAAGUAGCUUGUAAAAGCGUGUGAAAUGCAUUCACGUUGGAAUCUCCUACAGGCACUUCAGGUCUUCAGACUGUAAACAUUUUAAGUGUGAUUGCUGUGAAUGAAGGAAACCCAGAGCCAUCAUGACAAGCCUAAACUCAAAGGGGACUGAUUUCUUCUACACUGAAUGUUUCAUUAGUGACAGGGCCCAGAUAAUAAAGAAUUGUGCUCACUUCCUGUGAGUGAUGGCUUUCCCUCAAUUGUAUGCUGAGUAACAUUUACAGUAUUCAUUUUUAAGCACCCAUCUUCCUGGGAGCCCUAUUUCCCCUAAGCUUUCAAUUGAUCCUCCUAAGAGCAGAGAUCACUUAGGCACUGAGCUAUGCAGCUGCUGCCUGAGUCUCCUGGACGCCUGCCCUCACCUCCAGCCACAUGAAAAACAUUCAAGCUUUAACUUCAGAAAUGUUCUCUAACCCACUCCCAGACACCCAACUGAUUAAAUCAUAGAUUAGAGGAAAAAAUUCUUGCCUGAAAUUGUCAUCUUGCACGUAUGCUGAUGUCCAGAAGGACACAUCCUGGUGGGAAGUGACUGCAUGUUUUGUUCAUAUUACAAGUCCUGUUGACAAAAGAGAAUAAUACAGGUGUCCUCCUGAAACUGUCACCACAGUGACCUUCCUCAGUCAAAAAGAAAUAUAAAUAUUAUUGUGUUUCUCGUGUCUGAGGCACCUCUGAAAGCAUUUAUCUUUUCAGAGAGUUCAGCACUUCAUCUCACGGGUUAAUUAAACCAACCUGUAGUGGCAAAGUUUAGUGGUAGUGAAAAUAAACAUAAUCCUCUUUCUGUUGCCCAACCUUUCAGUUUCAUUUUGUAAUUUUUCAAUACAGGGGCACAAUAAGUGAUAAUCCUGGAUUCCAAAUGAUUUCCACUUCUUUCUCUGCCACCUUCCCUGCCCCAACACCUGCCAUCCCUCAUUUACACAAUUCAAGUAAUCAAGGGGCAGUUUGGCUCCCUUUUUCUGGAGGCAAACUUUUGCAGAGUUUUAACUUACUCAGUGGGAAGAAAAGCCCCCAAAACACUGAAGCAUACCAAGCAAAUAAAUAAAUAAAUGCACAAAGGCUCCCUGCGGUUGUCUGACGAGGAUACUGGAGCAAGCAGCCUGAAGAACAAACGUCUGACUGUUGAAACAGCGAGACAGGAAUAAACCCAUGGGGCCACAUCUGGGAGUGUGAGUGUGUGAAUGGAACUAAGCUGGUCUCCCACACAACAGGAAUUCCACCAAAAGUAUGCGCUCUGUAUGGGAGGACAGAAAAAAAAUGUGUUUAAAAUAUCACUAAGGAAACCCAGAUACAUUAUCUCUGCCAGACUACAGAAGACAGUACAGUUAGUGCUUGUCUCAAAAUGACAGAAACAGAGAACAUGCUUUGAUGAUGUCGAAGAUGCAGGAAAAUAGAAAAAUAAAAACGGUGGAAAGAUUUUUUUUUAAUGCCCUAAAAUGAGCAAGACGCCUCCCUUUUCAUAGCACCAGGAGACAUUUCCAUUGCUUUUUUUUCAUGCUUGUGGCUUUUUGAGGGCAAAGAGUAAGUGAAAUCCAAUAAUUUGGUCUUUCUGCUCCAAAGUUUUGGCUGCCAUAAACUUAUUGUUCGAAUAUCAGAAUGGUUGUUCCUGCUUUGACGCCUGUGAAACAAUUUGUUUCAAUAUCAUAGCACAGUUUUAAAAGUAUGUUUUGACUCCAGAAAUAUGUUUGACCUCAGAAUUUUGAAAGCGUGUUUUGACCUUUAAACUCUUACUUCAAGAAGACAUAUGUGUGCAUGUGUGUGUUUGUAGGGUGUGUGUGUGUGUCUUGUAGAAUCUCACAUUUUAUUCAGUAGCUUAGCUCCAUUUCAAUGCCAGUUAAAUUUUAGCAUUAUAAUAAUACAAUGAAUUACUCUCUAAAAAUAGGUUGAAAUGUAUUUCUAUUUGUGAAGUUUAGGCAAAUGACACCAUCUGCAAUAUCCUUUAACAGAUUAGCUAUUGUAAAGGCAUCAUCUUUAGGAAUAAUACUUUUCUGCAUCAUAAUAAUUUCCUGUUAUUCCUAAGGCAAGUGCUGGAUGAUUGUUGUUUCAGUGUGGAUCAGCCUGACUUCAAUCCAUCUGUGCUUCCCAGGGCCGACUCCUGAAUUCCUCCUCCAUGCCAUCAUACCUUAUUGGCUCUCCUGCUGUUACGUUCAGUCAUAAUGUUAAAAACUCAGACUAUUAAAAUGUAAAGAUAUGAAUUCUUUUUGAAAUUGUCAACAUGGAAGAGUCUAUCUACAGUCUGCUUUUAAUUUAGCCGCAAAAUGACUUAGCUGAUGCAACAAUUUCACAUGCUGAGGAAGAGUUUUCGAUUGCCGAAUUAGUGUGAUAAAGUGAUGGUGAGGUUUUCUGUUGACUCUGGAAGCAACAACAAAAAUGGUGGUGCUCUUCUCCAUACCCAUGUUCAUAGAUAUAUCGUUACAGAUGACACUCAAACUUUGAUUUUUUUUCUUUUUUGGCUGACUGCUUGAAACACAUGUAGCCCCAGGAAACAAGUAGAGCCACCCCAGGGAACUAAAAAACAAGUGAGUAACCGAAGACUCUAAACCAUGUGCAGUAGAAAUCCUUGACUCUUGUUACAGAGAUGCCUGGAGGUUAAUCCACAUGACAGGGAUGAAUUAUCUAUUGAUGGGAUAUUUUUAAAAUAUCACCCAAAAGUUUGUAAGCAUAUACAUAAAAUUAAUUCAAAUAAUUUAAUGUGAAAGCUGAAGAAUGAAUCAGUAAAUUUUAAGAAAAAAGUAAACCCAGAUAAUAAGACAAAUUGUAGAUAAGAACAAUCACAAAUUGUUGAUUCUAACAUGCAGUUUUCUACUGCUUAAAACCCUUUGAAGUCUUAACCAAAUACACUGUCACCAUUUUUAUAAACUCAUUUAUUGUGAACCAUUUAUUAAUUGAUACACAAGCACACACUUUUUAGAGGUAGAUAUUGCAAUAAAUAAUUCUGACACUUUAGUUAACAGUUUAAUCAACUAAAAGAUAAAUUCCCGACAAAUGUGUUAAAUGACAAAUUUUAUUUUUCAUCAUAACCCACGUUUGAGUCUACAGGUGGUAGUUACAAUAUCUAAAGAGAAAUUUAUAUCAUAUGUCACUGGAUAAAACAAGAGGCAUGGUCUGACUUUGGGAAAGGCUGAAUAUAUAGCACAGACAGGCACUUUUUAAUGGGCUUUUGCAGGCCUCAAUAAUCAUUUUCCAAAUACAUUUGCAAUAAGUUUCAAAUAACACACUUCAAAUUAAAGAUCAUGUAGAUUCAAAUGUUUUACUACCAAUAUUUAUCCAUUUACAUACCAUAAAAUUGCAAAAUUGAACAUUCGUACAAAAGCAUUUUAAAAUGCCCCUGACUAAAAUAAUAUUUUCUGCAAAAAUACAAGUCAUAGACUCUUAAGGACCCUGACAAUUUUUUUUCUGCAUUAGAACACAAGGAACACAGAAAGGUAUAAGCACAACAAAAAUAUCAUCAAUAGAUUCUGUUAUUCUACUUAAGGCCAAACCAAUUCUCAAGCUAAAUUACACUGCAGAUAAUUCGGAAUUAAACAGGCUUUUGUUUGCCCAGCUCUCCCACCUUCCACCCAAGUUCUUGAUGUUUCAAGUUUUUCUAUUUUUAUAUCUGGUAUAUGGGGAUUUUUAUAUGAGUAACUAUUCUUGUUAUAAAAUA